rnacentral:rRNA from 1 species
GCGCGCCUAACAAUGCAAGUCGCACGAGAAAGGGCUUCGGCCCCGGUACAGUGGCGCACGGGUGAGUAACAUGUGGGUAAUGUUCCCUCAGGCGGGGGAUAACCUUCCGAAAGGAGGGCUAAUACCGCAUAAGACCACGGCCUCGAAAGGGGCUGAGGUAAAAGCAGGCCUCGACAUGUAAGCUUGCACCGGAGGAUCAGCCCGCGGCCCAUCAGCUAGUUGGUAGGGUAACGGCCUACCAAGGCUAAGACGGGUAGCUGGUCUGAGAGGAUGAUCAGCCACACUGGAACUGAGACACGGUCCAGACUCCUACGGGAGGCAGCAGUGGGGAAUCCUGCGCAAUGGACGAAAGUCUGACGCAGCGACGCCGCGUGGGUGAUGAAGGCCUUCGGGUUGUAAAGCCCUGUGGGGAGAGACGAAUAAGUCGGAGCCAAUACCUCCGGCGAUGACGGUAUCUCCUUAGCAAGCACCGGCUAACUCUGUGCCA